ensembl:lncRNA
GUCCUGCAAGAGCGAUGACUUCCAACGAUCCAUGAGCAAUUUGGUGAUGAUUCGUGCAUUUUACAGCAUGAUGAAGCACCAUGUCACAAAGCAAGAGUGAUAAAGAAGUGGUAAGAUCAUUACAUUUAAAUUUUGGAUCCGUGGCCAGGCAACUCCAUGGAACUCAAUCCCAUAGAGUGGACAAGCAGAAGCCACAAAUUGUGAUCAACUCUGAGAACUAAUAAGGCAAGAAUGGAUCAGUCAGGAUUUGGCCCAGAAGCUACAGUAAUAUCCAGCAUGCCAGAGCGAACUGCAGAAGUUGUGAAGAACAAGGGUCAGUCAUUAAAUCCCUUUGCUCCCUGGCCUCUGCCCCCCACUUCAUUCCCUGAAGACAGUCUUAUCCCACCGGUCAGUCGAAAGUUUUUUGCAGCAAUGAAUCUAUUCCCCUGAUCCCUGCUGGUUUUAAGACCAUCUCCAGAGCAAUCGUGCUCUUUUUCUGCCUGUAUUGUUAUUAAGAAGAUACCUGACGUUUAUUUCUAUUUAUCUGAGUCAUGGCUAGUCACUUCUUUUGCAUUAACAUUCAGUUCUAGACAUGUUCCGUGGCCAGACUGUGUCUUUGUGGCAAGAUUUCUAAUUUCAUGCUAAGGAUCAUGGUGAUUAGGAGUCAUAUUGAAGCUGUACAGAAUCAAGAGAACCUGAGAUUGCAGUCUGGAUGACUGUCAUCUAAGUGUCCUGUUCAGCAUAAUCGGCACAGAUGGGUAAUUAAGUUCAAAAGCUGUGAAAGGCAGAAUCCAGGUGUAUUCUAUUUUUGGUACCUGUGGGAGAGUUUGAUUGGCAGGCUUUGACAAAGUGACUGCACAUUUAUAAUCUUUGAGCGAAUACCUUUUUGAAACCCUGUGAAAUUCAUGAUCAUAAGCUACAAUAAAGGUCUUGCCAAGACCACACAUUGUGCCACAUUUUAUUUUUUAUUUUUUUUUUUUGUAUAAAAUGGAUAGGACUCUAGACUUUGAUUUGAUGAAUUCAGUUGAAAUCGCAUACUCUGAGUAAAAGUGUGCUCACAUGUACUGUUCAGGGAAAUUUCGCUUGUAGAAUUGAGUCAGCUUUGAACUUCUGAAAGUGACUUCUGUGUUGUGUUUUGCCCAUGAAAUUUCGUUGAGAUUUCUCUGAGACGACUGCACCUUAAGGGCCAGAUUUGCUAACAGCACAAACCAUCUUUUGCCGUUAAAAUAGUACUGUUAGGAUUUACUAAAGAUGUGCAGUGAAGAAUUAGCACUGAAAACAACUGUGGACACAGUUAUUUUUAGUGUCUGACCUUACUGAAUAUGCAUUUGUAGGAGUUUACCUUUGAGGCACAAAUUUUAUGGGAGGAGAGUAUUAAAAUGAAUCACGCAUGGUGAUUUACUAAUGUUUGUGCUCAUCAAAUUACUGGUAUGUCCGCCAUUAUUUAACGGCCCAAAAAAGCAUGUCUUACAGCAUGCGGUAAAAAAUAAAAUAAAAAUGAUCUGGCUGUGUCUGUGUUGUAAUUGCAUUGUUAGUAAAUCACCUGCAAAAAUUUUCCCCACCCAUCGGUGCUUUUAUGGAAUUGCGCUGUAAUGCUAAUUUGCCCUGUUUAGUAAAUCUGUAGCUACAAAGUUGUAUAGCUACAAUCAGCAUAUAUUAAAAACUUUUACAACUGAAUUAUAAUGACCACUAUUUUGUUCUACUAAGAGUUUCAUAAUGAAUCUAGGGGGUAAUCUAUUAGACUGUGGCUGUCAAAGGCAGCUUUACCGAGCUCAACGGCUCUAGCCCGAGCAGAUAUAAACAAAAUGCUAUUGGCUAUUUUAAAAAGGGGACAGGGCUGCUAGAUAUGUCAAGCCUAAGAAUGCCCUUACCCUAGGUAAAAUCACUCUAUUGUGGCCUCUCAUGGCUUAUUAAUUAAACACAUGUCCUGCUGUUGAAUUUCUCUUUUUCAGGGAACUAUAUUAGUGCCAGGGCAUGCUUGGAAAUGCAGUGUAAAAAGACUCUACGAUCAGUUAUAGAUGUUCAGAAGAACGAGAGACAUUACAUAUUUUAUGUUAUUUUGAAAUAAUAAUUUCAAAAUAAUUUUUGAAAAGGCCUUUUGUGUUCUGUCAAUCGAUCUUGUACAGUUUUCUUCGUUUGUAGUACAGCUAAGCGCUGCAUGACCACUGGAGAGACAUUAUAAGAUUAAGCUAUGGUCGUUUCCCAUAAUCCCUUCCUAAUUUGAUACAUUACUCUCUACCAGACGGACAGAAAGAACAAGACAUGCUACCAAGGAGAAGUAAAGGGCUAUUAGGUGUUUGGCAGUGAGGGUUUAGAUCAUGAAUUCUCUUGGGCUGAAUUUUUUAUUUUUUUAUUUUAUUUUUAUGCAUUUAUGAAUGUUAAUUUCUGCAUUCUCAUGCUUAUUAUGGAAAGUAACACCCGCAUUGGCUCUUCAGGAAUUAAGUUGUGAUGAGUUGUAGAUGAAUGCACAUUUUUAGAAAUAACCUUGAUGGCAAAGCUUAAUGAGGAAUUGCUCACUCUACAGUGUUUUCAUAAGCAUGCUUAUGAAUCACUUUUAUUUAUAUAUUUAGUAUUUUAAUUUCAUAGGAAAGUCAAGGGAAACAAGGCAUGACAGACUGGAUACAAACUGGCAUUCCUUUGAGCAUUUCUAUUCAAGCUGUUAAUUUUGAGCUUGAAUAUUCAUACAUGUUCAAAACUAUUCAAUAUCUGCAUAUUAUUAUACUAAACAGUGAUUUAUUUCUUCACUGUUAUACAUAUCUUUUAUUCUAUUAUCAUGAAAUGACUUGUACAUUGACAGAG